AAACAAAAGCAAGAGAAAAAAAAGGAUGGUUUAUUAUUUUUUACGCUGUUAUGUUUGUUUCCUCAGUAUUUGCUGCAGCUCUGCUUACCCAAGCUUUGGGUUCCUUCUGUCCCACUGGGAGUUGCCCAAUUUGGUUGCAUCUGGUGAAAUUCACCCUGAGACCUUACAGAACCAGCUCCAGCUACGUGAGAGCCAUUUGCAGUUCUCUCCAGACGCCUGGAGAAUGGGCGACGUUUCUGAGGAUCCGGCGAGCGUGCUUCUAUCAAAACUCAGUCUGUGAAAUUCCUGGGGAAAACCCUUCUGUGUCCUGAAGGGUUCAAACUCUGGUGAGGAUCCAGUUAUCAGGUGCUCACCUGGAUGGUUCCAGCUCCCAAAGGGAAAGACUCUCGUAUCCUUGUCGUCGGGCUCGGUGCUGUCCAAGAAGAUACAGAGACUAAAAAAAUCAUAAGAAGCAAAAUAUGACUGCAGGGAAAAGAAGCUGGAGAGAACAGAAGACUCAUCACGGCGGGACAGCGUGAGGACUGAAAGUGUAAGAAGAUGUGGAGGGAAAGAGAGAAUCUGACAGGAGCAUCGGACGCACGAGUGCAGGAAUUUUGCUUUUUUGCUUGGAUGUAAACUCAGGCGUUGAAAGGAAUUUGGGAGUGAGAAGGGACAUUUCAGAAGGAGAAGAAGCAAAAGAAGUUGUUGUUGUUACAGUCCUGGCAAAAUCUUUUGUUCUAGCUAAUAAAAGAAGUUAGUUUAAAAAACAAAAAGGAAAAAA